rnacentral:lncRNA from 1 species
GGUGUAUUUGAGUCAGGCUUGUAGUAGAGGCAUGGGGAUUGAAGAAUUGUUGCCAAAAGGAGGAGUGAGUGGUAUAGUGCCAGUGUGACUGCUAUUGUUGGUCCUCCUAACAUUGACAGUGGUGAAAUAGUUAGUAGGGCAUGGAAGAGAUGCAAUUUAAGCUUAGGAGGUGGAUUGAACAAAGUUGCUGGGAAAGUAUUCAGAAUAGGACAUGUUGGCCAUCUAAAUGAGUUGCAACUUUUGGGUUGUCUUGCUGGUGUGGAGAUGACACUCAAAGAUGUGGGUUACCCUGUCCAGCUCGGAAGUGGAGUUGCUGCUGCAAGUGCUUAUUUACUAAACAAUGUUCCUAUAAUCCCUUCAAGAAUUUGAGUCAC